GAUGAACGCUGGCGGCGUGCCUAAUACAUGCAAGUCGAGCGAAUGGAUUAAGAGCUUGCUCUUAUGAAGUUAGCGGCGGACGGGUGAGUAACACGUGGGUAACCUGCCCAUAAGACUGGGAUAACUCCGGGAAACCGGGGCUAAUACCGGAUAACAUUUUGAACCGCAUGGUUCGAAAUUGAAAGGCGGCUUCGGCUGUCACUUAUGGAUGGACCCGCGUCGCAUUAGCUAGUUGGUGAGGUAACGGCUCACCAAGGCAACGAUGCGUAGCCGACCUGAGAGGGUGAUCGGCCACACUGGGACUGAGGCACGGCCCAGACUCCUACGGGAGGCAGCAGUAGGGAAUCUUCCGCAAUGGACGAAAGUCUGACGGAGCAACGCCGCGUGAGUGAUGAAGGCUUUCGGGUCGUAAAACUCUGUUGUUAGGGAGGAACAAGUGCUAGUUGAAUAAGCUGGCACCUUGACGGCACCUAACCAGAAAGCCACGGCUAACUACGUGCCAGCAGCCGCAGUAA
rnacentral:rRNA from 1 species